rnacentral:rRNA from 1 species
CCUACGGGAGGCUGCAGUGGGGAAUAUUGGACAAUGGGCGCAAGCCUGAUCCAGCCAUGCCGCGUGGGUGAAGAAGGCCUUCGGGUUGUAAAGCCCUUUUGUUGGGAAAGAAAAGCAGCCGGUUAAUACCCGGUUGUCAUGACGGUACCCAAAGAAUAAGCACCGGCUAACUUCGUGCCAGCAGCCGCGGUAAUACGAAGGGUGCAAGCGGUACUCGGAAUGACUGGGCGUAAAGCGUUAAGUCGGAUGUGAAAGCCCUGGGCUCAACCUGGGAACUGCAUUUGAUACUGGCAGGCUAGAGUGCGGUAGAGGGGUGCGGAAUUCCUGGUGUAGCAGUGAAAUGCGUAGAGAUCAGGAGGAACAUCCGUGGCGAAGGCGGCACCCUGGGCCAGCACUGACACUGAGGCACGAAAGCGUGGGGAGCAAACAGGAUUAGAUACCCGGGUAGUC